UUUUUUGCAAUGAUGUAGUAAGUACAGUUGGAAAUCUUUUAACAGAGAGCUUCGGGAGCUGAGAAGAAGCAAAGAGGAACGAUUGGAAAAUGGCUACUGAGCAUUUUACCCCAAGCAUUUUGUGAGGCGGUAACGGCUGCGACCGGUAUCUCGCUAGAGUAUGUUUGUACUUGAAGAGGAGCGACAUGUGAAUGUGGCUUGAAUAUGAGGUGGUAACACGCAAAAAGGCGUCCUCAAG
rfam:Enterococcus hirae ATCC 9790, complete genome.